rnacentral:rRNA from 1 species
GACGAACGCUGGCGGCGUGCUUAACACAUGCAAGUCGAACGAUGAAGCCGGAGCUUGCCCUGGUGAAUUAGUGGCGAACGGGUGAGUAACACGUGAGUAACCUGCCCUUGACUCUGGGAUAACUGCGGGAAGCUGUAGCUAAUACCGGAUACGACCCUCGGAGGCAUCUCCUGGGGGUGGAAAGAAUUUGGGUCAAGGAUGGACUCGCGGCCUAUCAGCUAGUUGGUGAGGUAAAGGCUGACCAAGGCGACGACGGGUAGCCGGCCUGAGAGGGUGACCGGCCACACUGGGACUGAGACACGGCCCAGACUCCUACGGGAGGCAGCAGUGGGGAAUAUUGCACAAUGGGCGCAAGCCUGAUGCAGCAACGCCGCGUGAGGGAUGACGGCCUUCGGGUUGUAAACCUCUUUUAGCAGGGAAGAAGCGAAAGUGACGGUACCUGCAGAAAAAGCACCGGCUAACUACGUGCCAGCAGCCGCCGCCG